rnacentral:rRNA from 1 species
UACGUAGGGGGCAAGCGUUGUCCGGAUUUAUUGGGCGUAAAGAGCGUGUAGGCGGCCUGACAGGUCUGCUGUAAAAACUCGAGGCUCAACCUCGAGAUGUCGGCGGAAACCGUCUGGCUAGAGUCCGGAAGAGGAGAGUGGAAUUCCUGGUGUAGCGGUGAAAUGCGCAGAUAUCAGGAAGAACACCUAUGGCGAAGGCAGCUCUCUGGGACGGUACUGACGCUGAGACGCGAAAGCGUGGGGAGCGAACAGG